UACGUAGGGCGCAAGCGUUGUCCGGAAUUAUUGGGCGUAAAGAGCUCGUAGGCGGUUUGUCGCGUCUGCUGUGAAAACCUAAGGCUCAACCUUGGGCUUGCAGUGGGUACGGGCAGACUAGAGUGCGGUAGGGGUGACUGGAAUUCCUGGUGUAGCGGUGGAAUGCGCAGAUAUCAGGAGGAACACCGAUGGCGAAGGCAGGUCACUGGGCCGCAACUGACGCUGGAGGAGCGGAAAAGCCAUGGGGGAGCGAACAGG
rnacentral:rRNA from 1 species